GGACCAAGGAGUCUAGCAUGUGCGCGAGUUUUUGGGAUUUACUAAUCCUAAAGGCAUAAUGAAAGUAAAGCUGAGCUUGCUCGGUUAGAGAAGAUGUGUGAAUUUAAUGUCGCACCGCAGUCUCGUGGCGUCUCGUUCUCAUUGCGAGUUGAGGCGUACAUUUAGCGUACACGCUGGGACCC
rnacentral:rRNA from 1 species